CAACGGAGAUGUUCGAUUCUUCGAGCCCCGGACACCAGACUCCAUCAACAUUCUGCAGACGGUGAAGGGGUUAACAGCUCUGGACAUCCACCCACAGGCUAACCUGUUCGCCUGUGGAUCAAUGAACCAGUUCAUCGCUGUCUACAACGCUAACGGCGACGUGAUCAGCAACAUUAAAUACUACGACGGCUUCAUGGGACAAAGGAUCGGGGCCAUCAGCUGUUUAGCCUUCCAUCCCAACUGGCCGCACUUGGCCGUAGGCAGCAACGACUACUACAUGUCCAUCUACUCAGCAGAGAAGAGACUCAGAUAACACACCAGCAUUCAGCGCACCCCUCCCUCCCCACCAAAACCAACACAUAUGACUUCUGACCCCGAGCCUCCAGCUCUGGAUGUAAAUGACUUUUUGUCGUUGUACAUAUGCAAUUACCACCCUGAAUGUUCUAGUGAUGGCUGCUGACAAAAACUGCUACGACUAUAUAUAUUAUUAUUUUUAUCAUUGUUUAAUCACAUUCUUAUAAUUAAGCUCAUGAUUGUAGACCUGGCUGUGCAGAGGAGUGCAUAUAUUUAAAUAGCAUAUACAGAAGAAGAGAGGAUCUAUUUUAAAGAAGUGGUACCCAGGGCUCCUCGUCGCCGCACAGCAAGCAUCCUUCCUGAACGAGCUGUGACCCCACAUCAGAUAUGGCGAGGGAGGGGUCUCCCAGAGGACGACACGGUUAAAACACAUUCACUGGUGCAGGAAACCCGGACUGCUGGACCCUGGUGUGUUUAUACAUUUAUUUUAAUGGCUGACCCGCAGCCAAACUACGCAGAGGUUUGCUGUAUUGCUGCACCGCCAGCUGGACAUUUGUAAGGACACAGAGAUGUUGGACUGCACUCAUUCUAUCCUGACACAUGGACCAGGAAGACAUGAUGAGUGUGU